rnacentral:lncRNA from 1 species
AGUGGGAUCAUUGGGCGGUGGGCGGUGUGGAGGAGUCUCCGCUGGUCCGCAGAAACGAACGAAGGCGCGAGAAUCGGGAAGUUCUGCCUCAGUGACCUGUACGCGUCCUAGCCGCAGUGAAUGUUGCUGAACCCCGGUGACCUCACAGUGGAGGGGCGGCCCCAUGGGGCCAUCGGACCGCGCCGCGCGGGGGCGUUCGCCAGGGCCUCCGCAGAAGCCCGCCUGUGCCCGCAACCGCCCCGAAAUUCUCUCCCUGGCACCGUGUCCGCUUUACGGAGCCCGGAGCAAGGCUCAGAAAAAUGUCCCAGCCAAAAACAUGGUACAUGCCUGUCAUCAGGCAAGUCUUCAAAGAGCGGCUGGGACCAGGGGCCGAGGGACCUCGUUUAGAGGCGGCUUAGGGGGAAGGUCAGCAGUUGUGUUUCAGUUGUGUUGGGUUUUCGGCGCCCCACAAUGCGGGCGACGUAUGGGCCACAGGUGUGGAUGCCAGGGACAGGUCGCCCUGCACAUGGCUGAGGCACGGUAGGCUUGUAGUCUACCCCAUAUCAGGCCAUGGUGAUCUCAGGUAUGGGGGCCUGGGAGAGGAGAGUGAGUACAUGGCUGAGUACGUCAGAGCACGGGGUCAGGGACACAUCAGGGGAGGACGCUGGCAGGAGAAUAACCGGGCUCCUGGGUGUCCUCCGCUGAAUUCAGACGCGUUCAUGUUAGAGCAGGUGGGCCUGCGUCCUCCCGGACGAACGGAGUUCUUAGGCAAGGUCCAGAGGAGCUUCUACCUGAAGUGGUGCUGGAGAACUUUGCACUCAGUGCUGGGUGAGACCACUGGCACCAUAACUCUCCCCAGCCUCAACUCUGGUUUUUUUCCUCUGUUCUUUCCAUGUUCCCCUUGGAAGUCGCUGUUGGUCGUGGCACUGAGGCCCAGAUCAUGCCACCUCCUCUAACAAGUGGCUGAGUGGACACCCCACACAUUCUACCCAAGGGCCGUGAGUGGCCAAGAUCGGGGCUCAGAAGUCUCUGAAUCUUCACAGCUGGUCACGUUCAGCUCGGUCACUUCCUGUCUGUGUUUGUCUUGGAGUAAGGAUUAUUCUCGCUUGCUGGGGUCAUGGUGUUUUGGCCUCUCCUGGCCUGGACUCUCAAAAACUCAUCAUCCUUCAUAGGUCUGAAGGCUUCUACAUUCCCACCAGCAGGUGGACCAUAUGAACUCAAAACUAGUUGUGGCAGAGGGACCCUGAAGAGAUCUACCCCUGGUGAAUGCCCCCAGGAGUGGGCUGUUCUCACACCUGGUGCCCAGCCUGUGCCCUCGCAGGUCUUGGUGCCUCCACUCAGCUCAAUUCCAGUUUUCUGGCCAUGCCCCGCUGUGUCCCUUUCUCUCUCCUUAGUGCCUAGCUGUGCAAUGUUUGCCUCUCCUUAACAUGUCCUCAGCUGACCCCAUAUCCUCAGUCCUUGCAACCCUGUUCCUCAGUGACACCUGUGUAUUCUCUCCAGUGGAGACACAGGUGGGACACCCCCAAGCUCAUGGUACAUGCCUGUCAUCAGUACCCCUGGACUGUCAUGGUGGGUCAGUCUGCCCUAGGCUGGACUGACCAACCUGUUCAUUCCCCCACAGGAUUGCCCUUUACAGUUCAUGAGUUCCCCCAACUGGAGUGCAGACAAGAGCACUGAUUGAUGGACCAGGUAGACUUGAAACCAGGAAUAGCACAAAAGUUAUCAAAGAGGCUCAGCCAUGGAGAUUGCAAGCUGGGGAUGGAAGUAUCCCUGGAAUUGAGCUGUUCUCACACCUGGUACCUGAGUUAUACCCCUGGUGUCUGGGUACCAAGGUCACUAGCCUUGCCACUUUUCUAUGUUCCUGAUCCCCUACUAAACAGUCCACCUUUUCGCCUACUUCCCCUGACUCCUGUACCCUGUCCCCUCUUUCUGCCUAGUUUGAAGACACUGGUCAUCCCAUAACAUGUCCUGGGCUAAUACAUAUCCUCAAAUCGUUCUUGAAAAUCUGUUCCUCUUCCCUCCUCCCCCUCCCCCUCCCCCCCCCCCCGCUCUUUCCACGGUCUCCCUCUGAUGCCGAGCCGAAGCUGGACGGUACUGCUGCCAUCUCGGCUCACUGCAACCUCCCUGCCUGAUUCUCUUGCCUCAGCCUGCCGAGUGCCUGCGAUUGCAGGCGCGUGCCGCCACGCCUGACUGGUUUUCGUAUUUUUUUUGGUGGAGACGGGGUUUCGCUGUGUUGGCCGGGCUGGUCUCCAGCUCCUAACCACGAGUGAUCCGCCAGCCUCGGCCUCCCGAGGUGCCGGGAUUGCAGACGGAGUCUCGUUCAUUCAGUGCUCAAUGGUGUCCAGGCUGGAGUGCAGUGGCGUGAUCUCGGCUCGCUACAACCUCCACCUCCCAGCAACCCGCCUUGGCCUCCCAAAGUGCCGAGAUUGCAGCCUCUGCCCGGCGGCCACCCCGUCUGGGAAGUGAGGAGCGUCUCCGCCUGGCCGCCCAUCAUCUGGGAUGUGAGGAGCCCCUCUGCCUGGCUGCCCAGUCUGGAAAGUGAGGAGCGUCUCUGCCCGGCCGCCAUCCCAUCUAGGAAGUGAGGAGCGCCUCUUCCCGGCCGCCAUCACAUCUGGGAAGUGAGGAGCGUCUCUGCCCGGCCGCCCAUCGUCUGAGAUGUGGGGAGCAUCUCUGCCCUGCCGCCCCGUCCGGGAUGUGAGGAGCGUCUCUGCCCGGCCGCCCCGUCUGAGAAGUGAGGAGACCCUCUGCCUGGCAACUGCCCCGUCUGAGAAGUGAGGAGCCCCUCCGCCCGGCAGCCGCCCCGUCUGAGAAGUGAGGAGCCCCUCCGCCCAGCAGCCACCCCGUCUGGGAAGUGAGGAGCAUCUCCGCCCGGCAGCCGCCCCGUCUGAGAAGUGAGGAGCCUCUCCGCCCAGCAGCCACCUCGUCCGGGAGGGAGGUGGGGGGGUCAGCCCCCCGCCCGGCCAGCCGCCCCGUCCGGGAGGGAGGUGGGGGGAUCAGUCCCCCACCCGGCCAGCCGCCCUGUCCGGGAGAUGAGGGGCGCCUCUGCCCGGCCGCCCCUACUGGGAAGUGAGGAGCCCUUCUGCCCGGCCAGCCGCUCCGUCCGGGAGGGAGGUGGGGGGGUCAGCCCCCCGCCCGGCCAGCCGCCCUGUCCGGAAGGGAGGUGGGGGGGUCAGCCCCCCGCGCGGCCAGCCGACCCGUCCGGGAGGGAGGUGGGGGGGUCAGCCCCCUGCCCGGCCAGCCGCCCCGUCCGGGAGGUGCGGGGCGCCUCUGCCCGGCCGCCCCUACUGGGAAGUGAGGAGCCCCUCUGCCCGGCCAGCCGCCCCAUCUGGGAGGGAGGUGGGGGGGUCAGCCCCCCGCCCUGCCAGCCGCCCUGUCCGGGAGGGAGCUCUGCCUGGCCAGCCGCCCCGUCCAGGAGGGAGGUGGGGGGGGGGGUCAGCCCCCCGCCUGGCGAGCCGCCCUGUCCGGGAGGUGAGGGGCGCCUCUGCCCGGCCGCCCCUACUGGGAAAUGAGGAGCCCCUCUGCCCGGCCACCACCCCAUCUGGGAGGUGUACCCAACAGCUCGUUGAGAACGGGCCAUGAUGACAAUGGCGGUUUUGUGGAAUAGAAAGGGGGGAAAGAUGGGGAAAAGAUUGAGAAAUCGGAUGGUUGCCGUGUCUGUGUAGAAAGAGGUAGACGUGGGAGACUUUUCAUUUUGUUCUGUACUAAGAAAAAUUCUUCUGCCUUGGGAUCCUGUUGAUCUGUGACCUUACCCCCAACCCUGUGCUCUCUGAAACAUGUGCUGUAUCCACUCAGGGUUGAAUGGAUUAAGGGCGGUGCAAGAUGUGCUUUGUUAAACAGAUGCUUGAAGGCAGCAUGCUCCUUAAGAGUCAUCACCACUCCCUAAUCUCAAGUACCCAGGGACACAAACACUGCGGAAGGCCGCAGGGUCCUCUGCCUAGGAAAACCAGAGACCUUUGUUCACUUGUUUAUCUGCUGACCUUCCCUCCCCUAUUGUCCUGUGACCCUGCCAAAUCCCCCUCUACGAGAAACACCCAAGAAUGAUCAAUAAAAAAAAAAGAAAAAAAAAAAAUCUGUUCCUCUGUGAGAUGGGCCUGAUCUCUCCCACGGGUGGAGCAGAGGAGUAGAGGGUCCAGGGCCUGAGUCUCCCAUAGGCUAAGUAUUUGCCCUGAGUCAUAAAGCCAGUGGGAGGCAGUGCUACAGUUUGAUUCCAGGAAGUCUCAGACCAAAGUUCUCUCUUAACCACUUACCUUUCCUGGGCUUAAUAGUUAGUUCAUUUAUGUUUUUCCUGGCACUACUUCAUUGGACCUCAUUUUAGUUUCUUCUUUUUUUUUUUUUUUUUUGAGACGGAGUUGCUCUGACACCCAGGCUGGAGUGCAGUGCCACGAUCUCACAGUAACCUCCGCCUCCCGGGUUCAAGCAAUUCUGUCUCAGCCUCACGAAUAGCUGGGACGACAAGCGCGUGCCACCACACCCGGCUAAUUUUUGUAUUUUUAGUAGAGUUGGGGUUUCACCAUUUUGGCCAGGAUGGUCUCCAUCUCCUGACCUCGUGAUCCGCCCCGCUCAGCCUCCCAAAAUGCUGGGAUUACAGGCAUGAGCUACCGCACCCGGCCCAUUUGUUAACAUUGUAAAAUGAAUAUUAGUACAUUAUUAUUAAUGUACAUUAUAUGGGUUUUCACAAAUGCAUAAAUUCAUGUAUCCACCAUUACAAUAUAGUACAAAAUACUUUUACUGCCCCCAAAAAUUACUUGUGCUACUAUUCAUUCCUCCCUCCCUCCCUCCCUCCCUCCCACUGAGUCCCUGGCAGUCACUGCUUUACUGUCUCUAUAGCUUUACCUUUUCCAGAAUGUCAUAAACUUGUAAUCAUACAGUAUGUAGCUUUUUCAGUCUGGCUUCUGUCACUUACCAAUGUGCAUUUCAGACUCCUCCAUGCCUUUCAUAACUUGGUAGCACAGUUAAUUUUAUUGCUGAAUGAUAUUCCAUUGUGUGGAUGUAACACAGAUUAGCCAUUUAUCUAUUGAAGGACAUCUGGGUUGAUUCAAGUUUUGAGCAAUUAUGAAUAAAGCUGCUAUAAUAAUUUGUGUGGUUUUCGCAUGGACAUAAGUUCUCAACUCAUUUGUGCAAAUACCCAGGAGUGUGAUUGCUGUAUCAUAUGGUAAGACUAUAUUUAACUUUCUGUAAGAAACUGCCAAACUGUCUUCCAAAGUGGCUAUACCAUUUUGCCUUUCUAUCAGCAGUAAACGAGAGUUCCCAUUGCCUCACAACCUUGCUAGCAUAUGGUGCUAUCAGUGUUUUGCAUUGUAGCCAUUCUAAUAGAUGUAUAGUAGUAUCUCAUUAUUGUUUCAAUUUGCAGUUCCCUAAUGGCAUAUGAUGUGGAGCAUAUUUUCAUGUGCCUAUUUGCCAGCUAUGUAUCUAUUUUUCUUAGGUGAGGGGUCUAUUCAGACCUACGGCCUUUUUUUUUUUUUUUUUUUUUUUUUGAGACGCAGUUUCGCUCUUGUUGCCCAGGCUGGAGUGCAAUGGUGCAAUCUCGGCUCGCCGCAACCUCCGCCUCCCGAGUUCAAGCGAUUCUCCUGCCUGUCAGCCUCCCGAGGAGCUGGGAUAACAGGCAUGUGCCACCACGCCCAGCUAAUUUUGUAUUUUUAGUACAGAUGGGGUUUCUCCAUGUUGGUCAGGCUGGUCUCGAACUCCUGACCUCAGGUGAUCCGCCCACCUCAGCCUCCCAAAGUGGUGGGAUUACAGGCGUGAGCCACCGCGCCCAGCCUUGAAUUGUACACUCAAAAUGGGCAAAUUAUAUGGUAUGUAAAUUGUUUUUUAAAAAAAUCUGUUAUGUUUUGAAAGAACAAGUAGAUGUCUGGGAGAUUCUUUGGAGAAGUACUUAAUGUGAAAUUUUCCACAACGAUAAAAAUGAAAGCACCCAUCCCCCUGGUGGGGGGACACAGAUCACAGGUAGCUUGUGGCCCCUCUUGGGCACUUCUUCUCCCACCACCCUCUGCUCCUUCUGCAGAGGCUUACAGAGCAGAGGAAACCCCAACCUAGGGCGAGACUCCCAGCUUUGCCACGCCAAGCCGGGCCCCAGGGGAGCCAGUGCGAACUCUAGCCUACUCCCUGGGAUGAGAGGACCUCAGCACUAACCAGGUCUGCAAGUGGGUGUGGGGUUAGAGUGGAUCAACUAUGUGAUCCUAUCAACCUACGUUCGAAUUUGACUGCAUUUAAAAAAACACUUUACCCCCCCAAACGGAGUCUCUCGCUCUGUCGCCCGGGCUGGAGUGCAGUGGCGCGAUUUCGGCUCACUGAAGCCUCCGCCUCCCGGCUUCAAGCGAUUCUCCUGCCUCAGCCUCCCGAGUGGUUGGGACUACAGGCGCCCGC